CAGAGGCAGAUGGUGGUGGCAUUUCCUUCUUGCCGGGAGCUCAGAUACUGUCUGGAUGGAUUUCAGCAGGUUUUGAAGCCAUCCCCUCUCUGUGCGGUCGCUUUCCUGGAUGGAGCCCCAGCCACCCAGGCUGCAGACUGAUUUUAUUUAACUAAGAUGACUUGUGGUAAACAAAGGAGAACCCCAAAAUCUGCCUGCAUGAGUAGAAUCUCCCAUCACGUCGUGGGUGCGCCCGCCCCGAGAUGGUGGCGUGUGUUGUCUGGGCUGUUUUUCAUAGUCUCUGCAGCUGGGAAUACAAGAUGCUAUACUUAGGCAGAAGUCCAUGAAGGAAUUAAUUGAUAUGAGCCAGAAGUUGAUUGCCAUUUAAGUACUCAGCUUCCACCAUUGCCAAGUUUCCCUCUUUGCAGAAAGAACUGAGCUUGCCUGCAAACUGGCUCAUUCAGGAUAUGAGCACAAGAUGGAAUUCAACCUUUAAUAUGCUGCAACACCUGCUUGGAAAUAAAGGGGCUCUGUGCUUUUCCCCCCCAAGGAGUUGACAGCUGACUUCAUUACAGAGGAAUCUGGCAGAGGUGGUGGUGGCUACUCCUCCAUCUCAGGAGGCACUCACCCAGGAAUGCGGUGCCAACCAGACCUGAGCUUUGGGAUCCUGCCAGAAACUCAUGCUGGGCCAUUUUAUCCUAAAGCAUCCCUCUUCCUUGAACUCUAGUUUUCAGUACCUUUGGUGGAAGCUUCCUUCACGCAAGGGAGUUGGUGAGGGGCUCUGGCCUGCUGAAGCUAAGUGGAGAAGCAUUUGCAGGUGUUCUGUAAUGGAAGCUGGAUUUCUAAACUUCCUUUCUCAAGGGUUCUGUGAUGCUGCACCCAACAGGCACAAGCAGACACAAAGUCAAGGCUGCCAUGCUCUAUGGAGUGGAACUUGAGGGUUGACUGGAGUCCUCAUCCGAGUUCUGAAACAGACUCUGAGCUGCUGAGAAGCUUGGGUCAGCCUGUGGGGGCCCCUAGUAGGUCUCUGAUGCCAUGAUCUCCGAUUUGGGCUGAAAUAUUGGUGAUACUUAUCAAUUUAAAUUUUUUUUUUAGUUAGAGGUAAACACAAUGCCUUUAUUUAAUUUAUUUAUUAUGUGGUGCCAAGAAUCAAACCCAGUGCCUCACAUAUGCUAGGCAAGUGCUCUACCACUGAGCCACAACCCCAGCCCUGAUACUUAUCAAUUUUCAAGGUAGAGUUUCAACUCUAUCAUCGAUGUGCGUGAUUUCCGAAAACAUACUAAUCUGGCCUCUAAUAGCCAGAGUAGCAUCAGUGGAUAUUAACUUUCUAUUACAUGUUAUCCUUCCUCUCUUAAAAUAAUCUACUUGAAAUCUCAAUGUCCAGGAUUGAGAUCCAACAGAUCAUAUAGAAUAAAUCUGUCUGGUGGAUUACUGCUCAUUCUUAAGCAAAGCAAAGUAGCUGCAGGGAUACUUCAAAACUGCAUAUAGUUGCACAUUUAAAACAAGGCACAAUUCAAACUUAUACAGCAAAAAAUCAGAUUGUUAUUUUAAAUUAUUACUUAAAAAAAUAACUGGAAUUAGGGGAAAAAAAGAUAUAGUUGAUGCUUUAGAGGUCAAAACUGGCAAUCUGAGUCAGGCCUGGCCUGAAAGUACAUCUCAUAUGGUCUACACAGUGGGAGUCAACAGUUUGAAUUUUUCAAAAAUGGAGUAGGAUGCCAACAUUUGGAAAUUGGAACAUAGCAUAUAACCCCCUGGGUUGCUGGCUCCUCCUGAGACCCAGGCAAUAUGGCACCAGGAAUCCUUUACCUGCAGGCUCCAGGAAGGGCAGGUGAGUUGGACAUUGACUCUCAAGGCUACCAGAAGUCCCACUGGCCCAGGUUUCUCACCAGUUGUGUUAGUACUCCCUGGACCAGGUAAGGAUGGGCUUCUGGAUCAUUUUCCCUUGUCUCCUUCUCCUCACAGUGGAUACUGGUGAUGCUGUUACUUUAGAGUUAAAAUAAUUAGAUGAUGCUCAGUUGUUGAGGGAAGCAUGCUGAAGAUCCAUGCUACUUUUCUACUCCUCAGAUGUUAUUUUGAAGCUUCAGUCCUGAGUCCAAUACACUCCCCUGAGAAUGCAAGUUUGGAUCAGUGUGUCUCAUGCUUGGCCAUCUUAAAUUCCCCUGGGGAGCUGUGGAUACCCGGCUUGCACUCUAGGCCAAUAAAUCCUCUGGGUUGAGACUCAGACAAUGUAAUUAAAAAAAAAAAUUGUCAUGGUGAUUUCAGAAUAAAGGGGGCCUUUAGGCCCUUGAAAAUUCAUACAAACCUUUCCAUGACAGCAGCUUCUUAACCUCGGUAUCAUUGACAUAUGGGGCCAGAUAAUUCUUUGUUCCUGUGCAUUGUCCUUGGCCUCUGCUCAUAGAUGCAACAGCAUUCUAUGAGAUGAGAACCACUGCAUUCAGUCAUAAAAUUAUGGUCAGGAGUGGUGUUUAUUAUGUUGGCCACCCAGAUAUAAGAACUUUGAGAAAUUUCUUUUGGAAUCAUGUGCCAGGAAAGCAUUUUCUCUUGGGGAACUGAUAUAUUUCUUUCUUUUUGGUUACUUUCCCUCCUUUUACUGCUGGGAAGCUCCAAGUCUGUACCCCAGUUGGAUUUCUUCCCCUCUGACUGCAGGAUGCUGAUUUCCUAAUUAAUGCUUUGCUAAUCUUUAUUCUAAGCUCCCUUUUAUCCUUAGGGAAUGAGGUAGAAUAAACAAGGUAACCUGUCAGAGGCUGGAAUGACCAUUCCAAGCACUGUGCAGUAUGUAUGAUCCAAGGAAACAUGACUUGCAAGGAGGAAGGCCCUGCUAACCAUGGACUACCUGUGGUCAAUGAGGAUCAAUCAACUAUCUGGAGCAGAUAAUGCUUAGCCCCUCUGGCCUCCCAGCUUUGGGAAGAGGCUGAACCCUGCCUGUGUUGGAGCAGCCUGAAGGCCAGUGGUGGGAGCCCACUCAGAAUGGCUGUGGUGACAGUCAUCUUCCAGAACUACCCCAUGCCUGUGUGAAGGCUGAUGACCAAGUUCUGUCACCUUCCCUGGCCGAGUGAUCCAAGGCCAGGAGGUGAAGCAAUUUGGAGAAGACCCCAUUGGGAUCAGUGCCAGAACCAGAACUAACAGCCAUCUGACUCCCUGCUCUGUGCUUUGUCUUCUGAACAAUGCUGCUUCUUAAGUACACAUAAGCCAAACUGCCUCUCAAAUUGCAGCCAUCUACUUUGAGUUCAGAUUUGCACAGCAUGACAUGAAUUGGGCUGCAAAUUAUGCAGAAAACAGCCAUCACAUCCAUCUGUGAUGUCAGAAUCCUCAAGUACAUCGUGACCUGUUAGUAUCUAAGAGAGUGGAAGUAGACUGGGUCUGAUUCCUUCCCUGUGCAGUAUGAUGAAUAUCCUCCCAGAUGCAUUUGGCCCAGUGUGAAAAGGUUAAAUAUGAUUGAGAUUAUGCCUGGGAUAUGCUCAAGAGCAGAUUUCAUAUCCAAGGGUGCUGGCAAUUAGAUUUUUUUAAAAAAAAUGAUAGAGUAACUAGAAGAAGAAAACACACAAAUACACUCAUACCUAAUGGUAAACUGAAUUUAUUUCCUCUUGGAAAACAAUUCCAGUAAUCUCCAGGUUCAGACCGCAGAGUAAACAUUAAUAACAGUAACAUACAGGUUAGUUCAACUGAUUCAAGAAUUUGGCUGUGUGAAUCAUUAAGGAAAACCUUGAACACUCAAAGCUUCAAUUGUAUCCAGGAAAAAAAAAAUUCUUUUGACAGUCUACAUAACAACUAUUGCAUAUAUAGUGAUGCUACCUGUCACAUCGCAAGGCUUACAAAUAUAUAUACGGGCCGUAUCCAGCUUGGGGUUCUGUUCUGUGAGAACAUCUCUUCAUGGUUUGCAAGAAUCUUCAGCAAUAAAAAAUAGUCUUGGAUUUUAACUGUUGAUAUACCAAAAGAGAAAUUCUAGGCUUAAGUGUAAAUAAAAGGAAGUCCAACCAUA